GUGCAGCAGCCGCGGUAACACCGGCAGCCCAAGUGAUGGCCGAUAUUAUUGGGCCUAAAGCGUCCGUAGCUGGCUGCGCAAGUCCGUCGGGAAAUCCACUCGCCCAACGAGUGGGCGUCCGACGGAAACUGCGCAGCUUGGGACCGGAAGGCUCGAAGGGUACGUUCGGGGUAGGAGUGAAAUCCUGUAAUCCUGGACGGACCGCCGGUGGCGAAAGCGCCUCGGGAAGACGGACCCGACAGUGAGGGACGAAAGCUGGGAUCUCGAACCGGAUUAGAAACCCGAGUAGUCC
rnacentral:rRNA from 1 species